UGGGGAAUAUUGCACAAUGGAGGGAACUCUGAUGCAGCGACGCCGCGUGAACGAAGAAGGCUUUCGAGUCGUAAAGUUCUUUUAUAUGGGAAGAUAAUGACGGUACCAUAAGAAGAAGCCCCGGCUAACUACGUGCCAGCAGCCGCGGUACUACGUAGGGGGCUAGCGUUGUCCGGAAUCACUGGGCGUAAAGGGUUCGCAGGCGGAAAUGCAAGUCAGGUGUAAAAGGCAGUAGCUUAACUACUGUAAGCAUUUGAAACUGCAUAUCUUGAGAAGAGUAGAGGUAAGUGGAAUUUUUAGUGUAGCGGUGAAAUGCGUAGAUAUUAAAAAGAAUACCGGUGGCGAAGGCGACUUACUGGGCUCAUUCUGACGCUGAGGAACGAAAGCGUGGGUAGCAAACAGG
rnacentral:rRNA from 1 species